GAUGCCCUGGCAGUCAGAGGCGAUGAAGGACGUGCUAAUCUGCGAUAAGCGCCGGUAAGGUGAUAUGAACCGUUAUAACCGGCGAUUUCCGAAUGGGGAAACCCAGUGUGAUUCGUCACACUAUCAUUAACUGAAUCCAUAGGUUAAUGAGGCGAACCGGGGGAACUGAAACAUCUAAGUACCCCGAGGAAAAGAAAUCAACCGAGAUUCCCCCAGUAGCGGCGAGCGAACGGGGAGGAGCCCAGAGCCUGAAUCAGCAUGUGUGUUAGUGGAAGCGUCUGGAAAGGCGCGCGAUACAGGGUGACAGCCCCGUACACAAAAGCGCAUGUGCUGUGAGCUCGAUGAGUAGGGCGGGACACGUGGUAUCCUGUCUGAAUAUGGGGGGACCAUCCUCCAAGGCUAAAUACUCCUGACUGACCGAUAGUGAACCAGUACCGUGAGGGAAAGGCGAAAAGAACCCCGGCGAGGGGAGUGAAAAAGAACCUGAAACCGUGUACGUACAAGCAGUGGGAGCACAGGUUUACCUGUGUGACUGCGUACCUUUUGUAUAAUGGGUCAGCGACUUAU
rnacentral:rRNA from 1 species